rnacentral:rRNA from 1 species
GGAUAGCCUUUCGAAAGAAAGAUUAAUACCGGAUGGCAUAGUUUUCCCGCAUGGGAUAAUUAUUAAAGAAUUUCGGUUGUCGAUGGGGAUGCGUUCCAUUAGGCAGUUGGCGGGGUAACGGCCCACCAAACCAACGAUGGAUAGGGGUUCUGAGAGGAAGGUCCCCCACAUUGGAACUGAGACACGGUCCAAACUCCUACGGGAGGCAGCAGUGAGGAAUAUUGGUCAAUGGACGAGAGUCUGAACCAGCCAAGUAGCGUGAAGGAUGACUGCCCUAUGGGUUGUAAACUUCUUUUAUACGGGAAUAAAGUGAGCCACGUGUGGCUUUUUGUAUGUACCGUAUGAAUAAGGAUCGGCUAACUCCGUGCCAGCAGCCGCGGUAAUACGGAGGAUCCGAGCGUUAUCCGGAUUUAUUGGGUUUAAAGGGAGCGUAGGCGGGUUGUUAAGUCAGUUGUGAAAGUUUGCGGCUCAACCGUAAAAUUGCAGUUGAUACUGGCGACCUUGAGUGCAACAGAGGUAGGCGGAAUUCGUGGUGUAGCGGUGAAAUGCUUAGAUAUCACGAAGAACUCCGAUUGCGAAGGCAGCUUACUGGAUUGUAACUGACGCUGAUGCUCGAAAGUGUGGGUAUCAAACAGGAUUAGAUACCCUGGUAGUCCACACAGUAAACGAUGAAUACUCGCUGUUGGCGAUAUACAGUCAGCGGCCAAGCGAAAGCAUUAAGUAUUCCACCUGGGGAGU